rnacentral:rRNA from 1 species
GAUGAACGCUGGCGGCGUGCCUAAUACAUGCAAGUCGAGCGAACAGACGAGGAGCUUGCUCCUCUGAGGUUAGCGGCGGACGGGUGAGUAACACGUAGAUAACCUACCUAUAAGACUGGGAUAACUUCGGGAAACCGGAGCUAAUACCGGAUAAUAUAUUGAACCGCAUGGUUCAAUAGUGAAAGACGGUUUUGCUGUCACUUAUAGAUGGAUCCGCGCCGCAUUAGCUAGUUGGUAAGGUAACGGCUUACCAAGGCAACGAUGCGUAGCCGACCUGAGAGGGUGAUCGGCCACACUGGAACUGAGACACGGUCCAGACUCCUACGGGAGGCAGCAGUAGGGAAUCUUCCGCAAUGGGCGAAAGCCUGACGGAGCAACGCCGCGUGAGUGAUGAAGGUCUUCGGAUCGUAAAACUCUGUUAUUAGGGAAGAACAAAUGUGUAAGUAACUAUGCACGUCUUGACGGUACCUAAUCAGAAAGCCACGGCUAACUACGUG